GUACAGAAAGCUCUUUUGACGACUUUCAGUUCGGCUCCUGAACUUCAAGCAGUGUCGCUCUACGUGUUUCUGAACUCUAUGGUUUGUUUACCCUCGUUCCCGCUCUAUCCUUUUCAUAGACCUAAGAAAAUAAAGAUGGGAAAAGACUAUCCGCUGCCAUUUCGUGCGUGCGCAGUUACGGAGAAGCUUGUGAAUCAUAGAUGAGAAAGCGGCCGCACAGUAGAGCGGUUCAGGCAGAGACAAAAGAGGACGAGUUUCACCUGGUUUUGCUGGUUCGCCGCACGGAAAGGAAAAGAGUGCUGUUAAAGCAACUGCAUCAAUUCCUGGCCGGCAGUUUGCAGGGCCCUGCAGAAAAUACCCCAGUGCUGUCCUAUUGGACUGCUCAAGGCAUCUAGGUCAGUAGGGAUUGGGUCCCGCUGACUGGCGGGGAACACAUUGGGCUUGGCGAUUUGCUGAAUUUUGUGAAGUUUUUCUCCUUGCUUGGUUACUGGCAGCGGGCGCAUUAAGGCAGAAUCCCACGACGGAACAACUCCCUACAGUUCCCAACAUUCCCCAGAGAGCAGGGGCUCUUUUCUGGCUAAACAUGGGAGGAGGAUCACAGCCUUACAAUGAAAUAUGCCGGUCCCGUCCCGUCCCCCCCCACGUAGCUUUGCCUUCACCCACUUUGCUUCCAGCUCUGCACACCACUUCAGUGCAGGCCUGAGGGGCUUCUCUGAAAUUAAACCUUGAUGGACUGCACUCGCGAAGGCACCUACAACAUGGCAGAAACAAACUGUAGGAAGUCAUAUGUAUAGACUUUUGAAGAACUGCAGUUCUGAUUGGCUCCCUGAAAUCAUACAAGCUGUAGCUCUCACCCUGUGAACUUUUACAGUAACUUAAACCCAGCCGUGUCUGGAGAUGCCAAGAGUUUGAAACUGGAACACAAAGCACCUGCUCUGAGCUACAGAAAACUGAUUCGAGGCACCAUGAAAUGCUAACACUGCAUGAGUAAGAGAUUGAGCUAGGAUUGGAAAAAUCUGUCAUCUUCUCCACUGUUCGCAACCGAUGGGAACUCAUCUUCAGCAAGUUAUUGUGCUUUAUCCGUUUGAAGGUGGAAUUUAUAUGCUACCCAUUCAAAUAUUGAAAAUGCAGCAAGGUCCAUUGCAUUACAAGAGGUGAGUCUUCAUCUUUUCAGUGUUCUAACAGCAGUCCUUUUCCUAGCAAAGGGGCACAGAGAAUCCAUUUACACUGCCCAUUUGUUAAUUUCCAUGAAACAGUAUGCAGGACUGUGAACAUUAAAGACUGUUCCAAUACAAAAUUUAGCAGGUAUGUAAUAAGAUAAAUAAGCAAUAAGGUAGUAAGAUUUUAAAAAUAACUACUUUUAAAAGACUGGCUGUAUUGCUCUGCCAGCAAUUAGCUGAAUUGUACAACCCCUUAUUAUACAGAUGCCAAUGUCCAAUAAACAUGAAAUUAAAGUUUCUGAAUUAUUCAGUGUGAGGCUAAUAGAUGUAACAAAGAAAUGCCAGAGCUAUCCACUGACUAGGCAUCUUCUGCCAAUAUUUACAAGUUUCUCAAACUCCCAAAUGUGCCCAGAUUCAUAAAGGUUGGGGACCCCUCAUGUGCUGUGCCUUUAAGUUCAUACAUAUCAAAGCUCCUGUAGCAAAAAAGGGAAAGCCUAGAUGGAUGACAAAAGAAACCAAUUGCCAAGGCCAGGCAAGAAGCAAAAGGUGACAGAAAUACUAUCAGAAUCCUGAAUGCGACUUUUCAGCAAGUAUCAAAUUGAGAUAAAACGAACUAUUAGAAGGACCAGUGCAAACAAGGAAAAACAAGAGACCUCUUCCUAAAGAGCCAGGAAAUCAAAGGAACAUUCAAACCUAGAGUUGGAAUACGGAAAUACAAACAAGGGAACAUACCAUCUGACCUGCAGAAAAUAAAGAGAACGUAGAAAUAUACAAAACUCUGUAAUAGAGAUGAAAGAAUGACUCCUUCAAAGAGAACUGCAAUAUUACAAAGCAAAGUAAAAGCUGCUCUGUAUGCAUUUCCAAGGAAUAGAACAUCCAGAGUAGACAGGAUUCCAGAAGAACUAUUCCAAGCUGCAGAGACGGAAUCGGUCCAAAUCCUAACAAGAAUAUGCCAGGAAAUGUGAAAAACAAAACAAUUGCCCAUAGACUGGAAAAGUUAGAUGUACAUUCUAAUCCCAAGGAGAUACAAAGAAUGCGGCAACCAUAGGAUCACUGCACUAAUUUGCCACGCAAACUGUGAUGUUUAUUCAAAGUGUUGCAACAAAGAACGGAGCAAGAAAUGCCUGAUGUUCAAGCUGGAUUCUGAAAAGCAUGGGAGAUGUUGUAAAUAUAUGUAGGCUACUAGAGCAUACCAAAGAAUUUCAGAUCAGAGUAUGCUUUAUAGCAUGGGUCCUCAAACUGUAGCCCGGGGGCCGAAUCCGGCCCACCGUGCCCAUUUGGACCCACCACGCACGCGGGGAGGCAGCGGUUUGCUCACUCGAAGAAAACGUUCUCCAAGCAAGAAAGUCACUGCCUCAUGCGCCCCUUGUGGCGCAUGCCCACUCCCACCUCGCCACACAUGCGCACCCUCCCACACCACACCGCCUCAGCACGCACGCCCGCAUGCACCCUCCCUGCCCUGGCCCACGCGCACCACUGGCACCACCUUUCCGACCCACGCCCACCACCAGCACCUUUCAACUGGCCCCCUGGUUAAAAAGUUUGAGGACCCCUGCUUUAUAGAAUACAGCAAAGCCUCUGACAAUGUAGGCAAGGUAUGAAUGGUGCUGAAAGGAAUUAUUGUCCUGAUGCGUAAUUUGUAUUGGGGACAAUAAGCUGUGAGGACAGAAUAUGGAGAAACAGCAUGGUUUCCUAAAGGCAAAGACAUAAAGGAAUGGUUUAUUUCAUCUCCCUAUUCAAACUGUACACAGAACAAAUAAGGAAAGCUGGAUUAGGAGGAAGAGUGAAAACUGAAGGAAGACACGUCACUAAUUUAAGAUAUGCAGAUAAUACCAUCUUACUGGCAGAAAGCACUAACUUAGAACAACUCCUGAUGAAAGUGAAAGUUAGUGUAAAAGCAGGACUGCAGCCGAACAUUACGAGAAUUAUAGAACUUUACUGUCAACAAUGAAAAAAUCAAAAUUGUGAAAAAUUGUGUUUAUCUUGGCUCAAUCAUUAAUUCAGAUGGAGACUGCAGCCAAGAAACUUGAUGACCACCAAGAUUUGGAAGGGACCAAUAAAGCAACUAGAAAAGAUAGUGAAAUGUAAGGAUAUUUCACUGGAGGCCAAGGCGACGAUCCUUCAUGCAAUUGUAUUCCCAGUUACUAUGUUUGGGUGUGAAAGCUGACAGGAAGAAAACUGAUACAUUCAAAACAUGGUUAUAAAUAGAACUAUAGUAAUGAUACUGAUGGUUUCAGAGAGCUUUGAGAAUACCUUGGACCAACAGAAAGAUGAACAAGUGGGUUACAGAAGCAAAAAUGCCAAGACCGAUGUUGUCAUACUUUGGACACAUAAUGAGACGACUCAUUGAAGAGGACAGGUAUGCUAUGAAUACCAAAUACAGGAUGGAUUGGCUUUGAUUAAGGAAGCCACAUGCUUGAAUUAAAACAGCAAAGCAGGGGUGUCAUGCAUAGGACAUUUUAGAGGUGUUUCAUUCAUAGGGUCACCAUCAGUUGGAGAUGACUUCACAACACCUAUCAACGCAGUAACAAGUCAAUUGCUAAAGCAGUAUUAAAAUUGCUACCUGUUCUUCUCCAUUAAUUCCUUCUCUAAUAAAAGGAUCUGUGUGUAUUGUU